rnacentral:rRNA from 1 species
AGUGAACGCUGGCGGUAGGCCUAACACAUGCAAGUCGAACGGCAGCACAGUAAGAGCUUGCUCUUACGGGUGGCGAGUGGCGGACGGGUGAGGAAUACAUCGGAAUCUACUUUUUCGUGGGGGAUAACGUAGGGAAACUUACGCUAAUACCGCAUACGACCUACGGGUGAAAGCAGGGGAUCUUCGGACCUUGCGCGAUUGAAUUAGCCGAUGUCGGAUUAGCUAGUUGGCGGGGUAAAGGCCCACCAAGGCGACGAUCCGUAGCUGGUCUGAGAGGAUGAUCGGCCACACUGGAACUGAGACACGGUCCAGACUCCUACGGGAGGCAGCAGUGGGGAAUAUUGGACAGUGGGCGAAAGCCUGAUCCAGCCAUACCGCGUGGGUGAAGAAGGCCUUCGGGUUGUAAAGCCCUUUUGUUGGGAAAGAAAAGCAGCAGGUUAAUACCCCGCUGUUCUGACGGUACCCAAAGAAUAAGCACCGGCUAACUUCGUG